GACUGACUGAGACAAAAACAUCUUAUGAAAAGGAGAUCCAGAAGAUCAGAUCUGAUUUAGAAGAAAAAGAAGAACAACUGAAAUCAGCCACUGACAAAGUCACUGAGACAAAAACAUCUUAUGAAAAGGAGAUCCAGAAGAUGAGAUCUACUUUAAGCCAGAAAGAGGAAAAAGUGAAAUCACUAACUCAAAGUUUGUCAUACAUGGAUAAGAACCUCAUAGAGGCAAAAGCUGCGCUGAGACGAAAACAACAAGAACUCACUUCCUUCAAAGACAGAAUGGCAGGACAGCUCUUUGUUUCCAAACCUACUGCAGAAACUGAUGACCUUCACAAGCAGAAAUUAGAGGAAACAAU